rnacentral:rRNA from 1 species
AAAACAUUUUUCCCCCUUAGUAUAGGCGAUAGAAAAGGACCUAAGAGCUACAGUGAUAGUACCGCAAGGGAACGCUGAAAGAGAGAUGAAACAGCACCAUAAAGUAUAAAGAAGCAGAGAUUAAACCUUGUACCUUUUGCAUCAUGAAUUAGCCAGUAUAAACGAGCAAGGAGCACCAUAGCUCGUAUACCCGAAACUAAGUGAGCUACUCCAAGACAGCCUAUUUAGGGCGAACCCGUCUCUGUGGCAAAAGAGUGGGAAGAUCUUCGAGUAGAAGUGACAGACUUACCGAACUUAGUUAUAGCUGGUUGCCUGGGAAAUGGAUAUAAGUUCAGCCCCCCAAGGUCUUCACUCGUUAGCUAUAGUGCCAAUGUGACAAAAAGAUCCGGGGGGAGUUAGUCAAAGGGGGUACAGCCCCUUUGAAAAAAGACACAACUUUUUUAGGUGGAUAAAGACAAGAUAUAAGGAACAGUGCCCCCGUGGGCCCAAAAGCAGCCACCCCUUCAGAAAGCGUUAAAGCUCAAGCACAACAACACCCAUAUAUUCCAACAAACCUCUCCAAAGCCCCAAUGUAAUACCAGGCUGAUCUACUUAACUAGUAGAAGAAAAAAUGCUAAUAUGAGUAAUAAGAAAACCACGAAUUUCUCCUGGCACUUGCGUAAAUCAGAACGGACAACCCACCGAAAAUUAACGGACCCAAAAAAAGAGGGAAGUGACAAGACCAGGCUGGAAAAGCAUUCAACCCCCGCCCGUUAGCCCCACACCGGAGUGCCCCAAGGAAAGACUAAAAGAAAGAGAAGGAACUCGGCAAACCAAGUAAGCCUCGACUGUUUACCAAAAACAUCGCCUCUUGCAAACCCACGUAGAAUAAGAGGUCCAGCCUGCCCAGUGACAAUAUGUUCAACGGCCGCGGUAUUUUGACUGUGCUAAGGUAGCGCAAUCACUUGUCUUUUAAAUGAAGACCUGUAUGAAAGGUAUCACGAGGGCUUAACUGUCUCCUCUUUCCAGUCAAUGAAAUUGAUCUCCCCGUGCAGAAGCGGGGAUAGCACCAUAAGACGAGAAGACCCUGUGGAGCUUAAGACACCAGGACGGACCAUGUCCAAAACCCCUCACCCGGGGCAGAACCAAAUGGCCCCCGCCCCAAUGUCUUCGGUUGGGGCGACCAUGGAGAAAACACAACCCCCAUGUGGACAGGGAGCACCAGAGGAUAACCACCCACAACCAUACAACCAAACUCCUAAAAACCAGAGCUCCGGCUCCAGUUAAACGAAACAUUCGACCCAGACUGAUCCGGUGUUAACCGAUCAACGGACCAAGUUACCCCAGGGAUAACAGCGCUAU